AGAGUUUGAUCCUGGCUCAGAGUGAACGCUGGCGGUAGGCCUAACACAUGCAAGUCGAACGGCAGCACAGUAAGAGCUUGCUCUUACGGGUGGCGAGUGGCGGACGGGUGAGGAAUACAUCGGAAUCUACUUUUUCGUGGGGGAUAACGUAGGGAAACUUACGCUAAUACCGCAUACGACCUACGGGUGAAAGCAGGGGAUCUUCGGACCUUGCGCGAUUGAAUGAGCCGAUGUCGGAUUAGCUAGUUGGCGGGGUAAAGGCCCACCAAGGCGACGAUCCGUAGCUGGUCUGAGAGGAUGAUCAGCCACACUGGAACUGAGACACGGUCCAGACUCCUACGGGAGGCAGCAGUGGGGAAUAAUGGACAAUGGGCGCAAGCCUGAUCCAGCCAUACCGCGUGGGUGAAGAAGGCCUUCGGGUUGUAAAGCCCUUUUGUUGGGAAAGAAAUCCAGCUGGUUAAUACCCGGUUGGGAUGACGGUACCCAAAGAAUAAGCACCGGCUAACUUCGUGCCAGCAGCCGCGGUAAUACGAAGGGUGCAAGCGUUACUCGGAAUUACUGGGCGUAAAGCGUGCGUAGGUGGUCGUUUAAGUCUGUUGUGAAAGCCCUGGGCUCAACCUGGGAACUGCAGUGGAAACUGGACGACUAGAGUGUGGUAGAGGGUAGCGGAAUUCCUGGUGUAGCAGUGAAAUGCGUAGAGAUCAGAGGAACAUCCAUGGCGAAAGCAGCUACCUGGACCAACACUGACACUGAGGCACGAAAGCGUGGG
rnacentral:rRNA from 1 species